GUUACUAUUUAUUUGGAAAUGUGAAGUUUUUUUUUUUCUUUUUUUUUUUUUUUUAGUAGAGUAACAGUAGCAAUGCCCACAGCUAGCAUCUGGAUCUUUGUUUCUAAAUAUUUCAUUCCCUAAUUUGUUUUCUAAAGAAAAUAAAUAAUAAAAGGAAUGAGGGCUAGGGGAGGGAGGCUAGAAUAAGUUUCCUUCUAAAAAACUUCUAAAAAGCAAUUAAGCACUCAAAGAAUGGUAGAGACAUGUGAAAAGAAUAGAAGCUGGCUUGGAGGAGUUCCACUGACUAGAUUUGGGAUUGUUUGAGCAUCAAGAAGAAUAACAGUAGUUAUUGAUAACAAUUGAAUAAAAAAAGAAUCUAUGGUUACGAAGUGAUUCUAAAUAGGAAGAAGACUGAGCUCCUCUUUUAAGAACAAUGCCUACUAACAUGUAGAAGGAAUGGAGAAAUUUGAAAAACAGAACUUUACUAUCAUCAUUGAAAUAAUUAAUUUGAGGAAAGAUUAUCCAUAGAUGUUAAAACUUUCACCAAGUGAAAGUUUGUUGGGGAACAGGGUAUCAAAACAGUGUGAAUGUAUUACCCCACAGAUUACUUACUAAUUACAAAGAAAAAAAGGUGCCUUUCAGUAGAGAAAUCUGAUGGAUACCACUUCAUCAAGUGAUCAAACUUAAUAUCACCAAUAGUAGGACAAACCAACAUAUGUGCACAAGGAAUAUCAUAACAGAUGAUCAUCUAUAUAUAAUAUUCUUACAAAUAAAUUUAGUUCUAAUCUAAUGAUGCAGAAACAACAGACAAAUUUAAACUGUGGUAGAUUCUACCAAGCAAUUGAUAUGGACUCUUCAAAAAUAUCAUUGUCGAGAAGCAAACAAACAAACAAAAGUGGUAGAAUUGUUUUAAAGCAAUUAAAUUAAAGAGGAAUGUCAACUAAAUGCAGUGUUUGAUUCUUAAUUGGAUCUGGAUCAAAAAGAAAAAAUCCAUAAAAACCAUUAUUGGGACAAUUAGGGAAAUCUAAAUAUGGAUUGUUUAUUACAUAGCAUUAUUAUAUCAAUACUAAAUUUUUUAAGUGUGAAAUGAUACUGUGGUUUGUAAGUAAAUGUCCUUGCUCUCUGGAGAUGAAUGCUGAAGUGUUUAGGCAUGAAGUGUCAUUAGGUCUGUAAGUUACUUAAAAAUGGUUGAGGGAGAAAGAGAGAAGGGUGAGGUGGGAAGGAAGAGAGAGAAAAAAAUGUGUAAAACAUUAACAAUAAGGAUAUAUGGGUAUUUACUCUUCCUAUUGCUUCAACUCUUCUGUGGAUUUAAAAUUUUUUUAAUACAAAACAUGGAAGAAAUAUAUAAAAAGGAGUACAAUAACAUGAAUACACAGACAACUAUUAUUUAACUUGUGAGUAGUUGUUAACUUUUCAAUGUAAUUUAGAGAAAGGUUUACAAGCAUAGAUGCUGCAGUUAGACUGCUGGGAUCCCAGCUCUACCACUUGGGAAAUGUGCAACCUAUACAGAUUACCUAACUUCUCUCUGCUCUCAUUGCCAUUUUUUAUUUAAAAAACAGUAAACUCACAAGAUUCAUUAGAGAUCUUACUCAUAGGUUUAUUGGAGGAUUAAAUGAGAAAACCCAAAUAAAGUACUUAGAACAGUACCCAUCUCAUUAAUAAGAGCUCAAUAAAAUGCUAAUUAUGAUGAGGAUUAUAAGUAUGACAAGGAGGAAAUGCCCCAGUGUCUAAGACACUACAUUAAAAAUUGGGGAUAUAAAAAUGAAUAGGAGAGCAAGUUCUCAUCCUCCAGCAGGUAAGUCUAGUAAGGAGAAACAGAAGUAAGCAGGGAUGUCCUGAUAACAGAUGCAUGUUAAGGACACAGAACAGGCAGUGAUUAAUUACACAGGCUUAGGAAAGUCAAAAAGGUUUGGAAAAGAUGUAGUGCUAGAAAAAAUUCUUUCAAAAAGGAAAUACAAUAGAUAUCUGAAACAUAAAAGAUAUCUUUCAUAAUGUAUGAAUUCAUAGAAUAUGAUGAAAUACAUUACAGUAUUUCUUUUAGUUGAAAAUUAUCAUUUUUUAAAACAUCUGAUACUGUAAUUUUGAGCAGGUUUGCUAAAGAAUCAUCACAAAAGGCCAGAAAAUUUUAAUGUAACCAUCAUCACCUUUUUUAGCAACCAAAAUCUCUAUGUUUAAAAGAGUCACUGAUACAUGAGUUGAAGUAUACAUUAUUUUUAAAAUUAAAUCAAUUUUGUUACUGGGCCUCGACUAAUACGAUGUCAGAGACUUGUCAUUUUGACCUUCAGGUGUUUUUAGUUUGCUUAUUUGUUUUCUAAAGAAAAUGAUAAUUAUUCCAAAUUUAUCUGAUGAAGAACCUUAAACAGAAAUUUGAAAACAACUUAAAUGUCCAUCAAUAAGAGAUUGGUCAUGUAAGUGAUGGCACAACAGUCUUUCUGUGUCCAACAUCAUGGACUACAAUCCAGGCCUGAACUAUUGUUAGAGGGACUUCCCUAACCCAUGAUUUCAGCAUGCCAUUCUGCUCCUUAUACUCAUUCACUGGCUCCUCAUCAUGUUCAUUUAGAUCAUUAUACUAUUUCAAACACUCAGCAUGGCAUUCAGUACCAUAUUUCAUGAUGUGACCCUUGCCUAUCCCAUUGGCCUCAUUUCCAAUCACAUUCACAAAUAUAGCAGUUAAUUGCAGUUCUUAGAAAUACACUCUCGAGUACCUCCACACUUUCACAUGGAAUGCCAUUCCCCCUCUUGUCUGCUACACUAAUAUCUAGACAGGCUUCACCUGUCAGUUUGACCAUUAUAUCACCCCCAAGAUUUUCACACCUCAUGCUGAGUUCAUACCCUCUUCAGUGCUUUCAUAAGCCUCUGUGCAUACUUCUAUCAUAAAUUAUAUGUAUAUACAGGUUUACUUUUAAAUAUAUAUAUCUUAUACCAUAUUUUCAGAGUUGUUUUUCUUAUCUAGCUCCUUCACUAGACUUUGAGCUCUUUAAAUACACAGUACUUGCUCUGUAGUGUACAGUCUCCUGACAAAGACAGACAUGACAGGUGUACAAAGUGUUAAAAGAAUACAGAAAAAGGCGUUUCUCUGCAGGGAGGCAGGAAUAGGAAAGAUACCAGGAAAAACUUUCAAGAGGAAAUGUGAGCUGAAUUUUAAAGGAUAAGUAGAAAUUCACCAUGGGAAUGGGUGAAGGGCCUUUGACUCAGACUGAGCAGCGUAAGAAAAGCCAACAGGCAUGAAGCAGCAGAAGUCUGGAAACCCAAGGGCCGUCCACUGCGACUGGGCCUACAACAAGAAACAGUCCUCCACAGAUAAGGCGAUGUCAGCCUGAAAAGGCUUCUACUCAAAUAAUCAAGAUUCUACCCAUAACUGUGAACAGCCAAUGGACUGUAAGCAGUAGAUGACACAAUCAGAUUACCUUUAUGUGUUUUCAAGCACAUAAAUUGAUUUCUGUUUAGAAUCUAAAGCAAGAGUGAAGAUCUAUGAUACGUAAUAAGGUCAUAAGCAUUUUCUUCUUGCAUGGCUGCUUUUGUUGUCAAUAGCAACAAGAAUUACCAUGAAAGCACAGCCAUUUCACUUGAACAUACAUAAAUAAUCCAGUUUGAUGAAAGUAAAGGGAAGAAACUUGAAAUGGUACUAAUAAUGGUCAGUGUUUGAUCAACCUAGAGAUUUUAGAGAUCCUCCUUAUACUGGAGCCUAGGCGGGGCCCUAUCCCUACUCUAUUCACAAUGUCUCUGGAUAUCAACUCCAUCAGUUGAUUACUGAUCUUCAAAAUAUAUCGACUUAAAAAAGAAAGACAAAAUGAACUGGCCUUUAAUCUGCUAAAUAAUACAGCAAACUUCAGAACAUUGUUAGUGAUUCUAACCUGAAACUAUCUUGUCUAAUCCAGAGCUGUCCAUCCAAAACCCUAUACAGCUCAUCCAUCACAGCUAGAUAUUCUGGGCUGGAUCUAGCUGAACUGUCAGAAAGCUAUGUACAUAAUGCUUCUUAAACUAUGUAUAGAACAGCUUUCCGUGAACUGUACUUUUAGAGUAAGGGCCUCAUCUUAUGUUGACGGAUCUUCUAUGAAACAGCUUUUCAAAAACCACCACUGGCUUCAUGAUAGGAAUGUUGCUGUGGCCCCUUCCAUUCCAUCAUUCACUCCCACUCCGUAAAGGGCCACGUGAAAGUCUUCCUUCAGAACUACAUGCAGGAAAACCAUAAUUCCUCCCACAUAACUUGUUUGCUUUUUCCCUGACAAACAACACAAAUUAAAUCAGCAAUAACAUCUCUUACCUUUGGCUACCAGAAGCUAGUAGCCAAAUUGUAGGACAUAUGUAGGAUCCUAUGGCUUACAUAUCUGCAAUUGAAAAACCCUCCUCCUAAUAUUUUUAUUUUACCCCCAUUUUCCUCCAUGUAGCCCCUAUUUCCUUAUUUUAAUUGUGUGAAUUCCUGGAAGCCACUUUAUAUACUUUCCCAAACAAGAUAGGGCAUAAACAAAUAGAAAUAAAGAAAUCAAUUUAAUUUAUCUUUUAAGGUAUCUUCUAAGGAAUCUAAAAUAGAAGAUGACUGAACAGAAGGUUUCUACUCUGUAAUAUUAGCCAUGAUUUACUCUCCUUUACA